CAUGCAAGUCGAGCGGAAACGAAGAGUAGCUUGCUACUCUGGCGUCGAGCGGCGGACGGGUGAGUAAUGCUUGGGAACAUGCCUUGAGGUGGGGGACAACAGUUGGAAACGACUGCUAAUACCGCAUAAUGUCUACGGACCAAAGGGGGCUUCGGCUCUCGCCUUUAGAUUGGCCCAAGUGGGAUUAGCUAGUUGGUGAGGUAAUGGCUCACCAAGGCGACGAUCCCUAGCUGGUUUGAGAGGAUGAUCAGCCACACUGGGACUGAGACACGGCCCAGACUCCUACGGGAGGCAGCAGUGGGGAAUAUUGCACAAUGGGCGCAAGCCUGAUGCAGCCAUGCCGCGUGUGUGAAGAAGGCCUUCGGGUUGUAAAGCACUUUCAGUCAGGAGGAAAGGUUAGUAGUUAAUACCUGCUAGCUGUGACGUUACUGACAGAAGAAGCACCGGCUAACUCCGUGCCAGCAGCCGCGGUGAUACGGAGGGUGCGAGCGUUAAUCGGAAUUACUGGGCGUAAAGCGUACGCAGGCGGUUUGUUAAGCGAGAUGUGAAAGCCCCGGGCUCAACCUGGGAACUGCAUUUCGAACUGGCAAACUAGAGUGUGAUAGAGGGUGGUAGAAUUUCAGGUGUAGCGGUGAAAUGCGUAGAGAUCUGAAGGAAUACCGAUGGCGAAGGCAGCCACCUGGGUCAACACUGACG
rnacentral:rRNA from 1 species